CAAAAACGGGUGGGCUAUAGCCUUGGGGGGUGGGGCUGGCCAACUACGUCCGCCGGACUCGGAAUGCCACGAGACUUUACGAGGGGCCUCCGUGCGCCAAAAAUAGGCUGCGGGCAAAGCCGCGCCCAAAAAUAACAGCCCGAAGGCCGGGGCGCCAAGUUCGUCCUGCGGAAAAAGGCCACGAAAACGGGUGGGCUAUAGCCUUGGGGGGUGGGGCUGGCCAACUUCGUCCGCCUGACUCAGAAUGGCGCGAGACUUUGCGAGGCGCCUCCGUGUGCCAAAAAUAGGCCGCGGGCAAAGCCGAGCCCAAAAAUAACCACCCGAAGGCCGGGGCGCCAAGUUCGUCCAGCGGUAAAAGGCCACAAAAACGGGUGGGCUAUAGCCUUGGGGGGUGGGGCUGGCCAACUUCGUCCGCCGGACUCGGAAUGCCGCGAGACUUUGCGAGGGGCCUUCGUGUGCCACAAAUAGGCCGCGGGCAACGCCGCGUCCAAAAAUAACCGCCCGAAGGCCGGGGUGCCAAGUUCGUCCAGCGGAAAAAGGCCACAAAAACGGGUGGGCUAUAGCCUUGGGGGGUGGGGCUGGCCAACUUCGUCCGCCUGACUCGGAAUGCCGCGAGACUUUGUGAGGGGCCUCCGUGUGCCAAAAAUAGGCCGCGGGCAAAGCCGUACCCAAAAAUAACCGCCCGAAGGCCGGGGCGCCAAGUUCGUCCUGCGGAAAAAGGCCACGAAAACGGGUGGGCUAUAGCCUUGGGGGGUGGGGCUGGCCAACUUCGUCCGCCGGACUCGUAAUGCCGCGAGACUUUGCGAGGGGCCUCCGUGUGCCACAAAUAGGCCGCGGGCAAAGCCGCGCCCAAGAAUAACCGCCCGAAGGCCGGGGCGCCAAGUUCGUCCAGCGGUAAAAGGCCACAAAAACGGGUGGGCUAUAGCCUUGGGGGGUGGGGCUGGCCGACUUCGUCCGCCGGACUCGGAAUGCCGCGAAACUUUAUGAGGGGCCUCCGUAUGCCAAAAGUAGGCUGCGGGCAAAGCCGUAUCCAAAAAUAACCGCCCGAAGGCCGGGCCGCCAAGUUCGUCCAGCGGAAAAAGGCCACAAAAACGGGUGGGCUAUAGCCUUGGGGGGUGGGGCUGGCCGACUUCGUCCGCCGGACUCGGAAUGCCGCGAAACUUUAUGAGGGGCCUCCGUAUGCCAAAAGUAGGCUGCGGGCAAAGCCGCGUCCAAAAAUAACCGCCCGAAGGCCUGGGCGCCAAGUUCGUCCAGCGGACAAAGGUGACAAAAACGGGUGGACUAUAGCCUUGGGGGGUGGGGCUGGCCAACUUCGUCCGCCGGAAUCGGAAUGCCGCGAGACUUUGCGAGGGGCCUCCGUGUGCCAAAACUAGGCCACGGACAAAGCCGCAUCCAAAAAUAACCGCCCGAAGGCCGGGCCGCCAAGUUCGUCCAGCGGAAAAAGGCCACAAAAACGGGUGGGCUAUAGCCUUGGGGGGUGGGGCUGGCCAACUUCGUCCGCCGGACUCGGAAUGCCGCGAGACUUUGCGAGGGGCCUCCGUGUGCCAAAAAUAGGCCGCGGGCAAAGCCGCGCCCAAAAAUAACCGCCCGAAGGCCGGGGCGCCAAGUUCGUCCAGCGCAAAAAGGCCACAAAAACGGGUGGGCUAUAGCCUUGGGGGGUGGGGCAGGCCAACUUCGUCCGCCGGACUCGGAAUGGCGAGAGACUUUGUGAGGUGCCUCCGUGUGCAAAAAAUAGGCCGUGGGCACAGCCGCGCCCAAAAAUAACCGCCCGAAGGCCGGGGCGCCAAGUUCGUCCAGCGGAAAAAGGCCACAAAAACGGGUGGGCUAUAGCCUUGGGGGGUGGGGCUGGCCAUCUUCGUCCGCCGGACUCGGAAUGCCGCGAGACAUUACGAGGGGCCUCUGUGUGCCAAAAAUAGGCCGCGGCCAAAGGCGCGCCCAAAAAUAACCGACCGAAGGCCGGGGCGCCAAGUUCGUCCAGCGGAAAAAGCCACAAAAACGGGUGGGCUAUAGCCUUGGGGGGUGGGGCUGGCCAACUUCGUCCGCCGGACUCGGAAUGCCGUGAGACUUUGCGAGGGGCCUCCGUGUGCCAAAAAUAGGCCGCGUGCAAAGCCGUACCCAAAAAUAACCGCCCGGAGGCCGGGGCGCCAAGUUCGUCCAGCGGAAAAAGGCCACAAAAAUGGGUGGGCUAUAGCCUUGGGGGGUGGGGCUGGCCAACUUCGUCCGCCGGACUCGUAAUGCCGCGAGACUUUGCGAGGGGCCUCCGUGUGCCAAAAGUAGGCCGCGGGCAAAGCCGCGCCCAAAAAUAACCUCCCGAAGGCCGGGGCGCCAAGUUCGUCCAGCGGAAAAAGGCCACAAAAACGGGUGGGCUAUAGCCUUGGGGGGUGGGGCUGGCCAACUUCGUCCGCCGGACUCGGAAUGGGGCGAGACAUUGCAAGGCACCUCCGUGUGCCAAAAAUAGGCCGCGGACACAGCCGCACCCAAAAAUAACUGCCCGAAGGCCGGGGCGCCAAGUUUGUCCAGCGGAAAAAGGCCACAAAAACGGGUGGGCUAUAGCGUUGGGGGGUGGGGCUGGCCUACUUCGUCCGCCGGACUCGGAAUGGCGCGAGACUUUGCGAGGGGCCUCCGUGUGCCAAAAGUAGGCCGCGGGCAAGCCGUGCCCAAAAAUAACCGCCCGAAGGCCGGGGCGCCAAGUUCUUCCAGCGGAAAAAGGCCACAAAAACGGGUGGGCUAUAGCCUUGGGGGGUGGGGCUGGCCAACUUCGUCCGCCGGACUCGGAAUGGGGCGAGACGUUGCAAGGCACCUCCGUGUGCCAAAAAUAGGCCGCGGGCAUAGCCGCGCCCAAAAUAACCGCCCGAAGGUCGGGGCGCCAAGUUCGUCCAGCGGAAAAAGGCCACAAAAACGGGUGGGCUAUAGCCUUGGGGGGUGGGGCUGGCCAACUUCGUCCGCCGGACGCGGAAAGCCGCGAGACUUUGCGAGGGGCCUCCGUGUGCCAAAAGUAGACCGUGGACGAAGCCGCGCCCAAAAAUAACCGCUCGAAGGCCGGGGCGCCAAGUUCGUCCAGCGGAAAAAGGCCACAAAAUCGGGUGGGCUAUAGCCUUGGGGGGUGGGGCUGGCCAACUUCGUCCGCCGGACUCGGAAUGCCGCGAGACUUUGCGAGGGGCCUCCGUGUGCCAAAAAUAGGCCGCGUGCAAAGCCGUACCCAAAAAUAACCGCCCGGAGGCCGGGGCGCCAAGUUCGUCCAGCGGAAAAAGGCCACAAAAAUGGGUGGGCUAUAGCCUUGGGGGGUGGGGCUGGCCGACUUCGUCCGCCGGACUCGGAAUGCCGGAAGACUUUGCGAGGGGCCUCCGUGUGCCAAAAAUAGGCCGCGGGCACAGCCGCGCUCAAAAAUAACCGCUCGAAGGCCGGGGCGCCAAGUUCGUCCAGCGGAAAAAGCCCACAAAAACGGGUGGGUAUAGCCUUGGGGGGUGGGGCUGGCCAACUUCGUCCGCCGGACUCGGAAUGCCGCGAGACUAUGCGAGGGGCCUCCAUGUGCCAAAAAUAGGCCGCGGGCAAAGCCGCGCCCAAAAAUAACCGCCGAAGGCCGGGGCGCCUACUUCCUCCAGCGGAAAAAGGCCACAAAAACGGGGUGGGCUAUAGCCUUGGGGGGUGGGGCUGGCCAAUUUCGUCUGUCGGACUCGGAAUGCCGCCAGACUUUGCGAGGGGCCUCCGUGUGCCCUAUGUAUGCCGCGGGGAAAGCCGUACCCAAAAAAUAACCGGCCGAAGGCCGGGGCGCCAUGUUCGUCCAGCGGAAAAAGUCCACAAAAACGGGUGGGCUAUAGCCUUGGGGGGUGGGGCUGGCCAACUUCGUCCGCCGGACUCAGAAUGCCGCGAGACUUUGCGAGGGGCCUCCGUGUGCCAAAAGUAGGCCGCGGGCAAAAGCGACGCCCCAAAAAUAACCGACGAAGGGCCGGGGGGACAAGUUUGUCCAACGGAAAAAGGCCACAAAAACGGGUGGGCUAUAGCCUUGGGGGGUGGGGCUGGCCAACUUCGUCCGCCGGACUCGGAAUGGCGUGAGACUUUGCGAGGCACUUCCGUGUGCCAAUAAAAGGCCGCAGCCACAACCGCGCCCAAAAAUAAAAGCCCGAAGGCUGGGGUGCCAAGUUCGUCCAGCGGAAAAUGGGCACAAAAACGGGUGGGCUAUAGCCUUGGGGGGUGGGGCUUGCCAACUUCGUCCGCCGGACUCGGAAUGCCGCGAGAUUUUGCGAGAGGCCUCCGUGUGCCAAAAAUAGGACACGGGCAAAGCCGUGCCCAAAAAUAACCGCCCGUAGGCCGGGGUGCCAAGUUCGUCCAGCGGAAAAAGGCCACAAAAACGGGUGGGCUAUAGCCUUGGGGGGUGGGGCUGGCCAACUUCGUCCGCCGGACUCGGAAUGCCGUGAGACUUUGCGAGGGGCCUCCGUGUGCCAAAAGUAGGCCGCGGGCAAAGCCGCACCCAAAAAUAACCGCCCGAAGGCCUGGGCGCCAAGUUUGGCCAGCGGAAAAAGGCCACAAAAACGGGUGGGCAAUAGCCUUGGGGGGUGGGGCUGGCCAACUUCGUCCGCCGGACUCGGAAUGCCGUGAGACUUUGCGAUGGGCCUCCGUGCGCCAAAAAUAGGCCACGGGCAAAGCCGCGCCCAAAGAUAACAGCCCGAAGGCCGGGGCGCCAAGUUCGUCCAGCUGAAAAAGGCCUCAAAAACGGGUGGGCUAUAGCCUUGGGGGGUGGGGCAGGCCAACUUCGUCCGCCGGACUCGGAAUGGCGCGAGACUUUAUGAGCCGUCUCCGUGUGCCAAAAAUAGGACGCGGACACAGCCGCACUCAAAAAUAACCGCCCGAAGGCCGGGGCGCCAAGUUCGUCCAGCGGAAAAAGGCCACAAAAACGGGUGGGCUAUAGCCUUGGGGGCUGGGGCUGGCCCACUUCAUCCGCCGGACUCGGAAUGGCGCGAGACUUUGCGAGGCACCUCCGUGUGCCAAAAAUAGGCCGCGGGCAGAGCCGCACCCAAAAAUAACCGCCCGAAGGCCGGGGCGCCAAGUUCGUCCAGCGGAAAAAGGCCACAAAAACGGGUGGGCUAUAGCCUUGGGGGGUGGGGCUGGCCAUCUUCGUCCGCCGGACUCGGAAUGCCGCGAGACUUUACGAGGGGCCUCUGUGUGCCAAAAAUAGGCCGCGGCCAAAGCCGCGCCCAAAAAUAACCGACCGAAGGCCGGGGCGCCAAGUUCGUCCAGCGGAAAAAGCCACAAAAACGGGUGGGCUAUAGCCUUGGGGGGUGGGGCUGGCCAACUUCGUCCGCCGGACUCGGAAUGGCGUGAGACUUUGCGAGGCACUUCCGUGUGCCAAUAAAAGGCCGCAGCCACAACCGCGCCCAAAAAUAAAAGCCCGAAGGCUGGGGUGCCAAGUUCGUCCAGCGGAAAAUGGGCACAAAAACGGGUGGGCUAUAGCCUUGGGGGGUGGGGCUUGCCAACUUCGUCCGCCGGACUCGGAAUGCCGCGAGAUUUUGCGAGAGGCCUCCGUGUGCCAAAAAUAGGACACGGGCAAAGCCGUGCCCAAAAAUAACCGCCCGUAGGCCGGGGUGCCAAGUUCGUCCAGCGGAAAAAGGCCACAAAAACGGGUGGGCUAUAGCCUUGGGGGGUGGGGCUGGCCAACUUCGUCCGCCGGACUCGGAAUGCCGUGAGACUUUGCGAGGGGCCUCCGUGUGCCAAAAGUAGGCCGCGGGCAAAGCCGCACCCAAAAAUAACCGCCCGAAGGCCUGGGCGCCAAGUUUGGCCAGCGGAAAAAGGCCACAAAAACGGGUGGGCAAUAGCCUUGGGGGGUGGGGCUGGCCAACUUCGUCCGCCGGACUCGGAAUGCCGUGAGACUUUGCGAUGGGCCUCCGUGCGCCAAAAAUAGGCCACGGGCAAAGCCGCGCCCAAAGAUAACAGCCCGAAGGCCGGGGCGCCAAGUUCGUCCAGCUGAAAAAGGCCUCAAAAACGGGUGGGCUAUAGCCUUGGGGGGUGGGGCAGGCCAACUUCGUCCGCCGGACUCGGAAUGGCGCGAGACUUUGCGAGGCACCUCCGUGUGCCAAAAAUAGGCCGCGGGCACAGCCGCACCCAAAAAUAACCGCCCGAAGGCCGGGGCGCCAAGUUCGUCCAGCGGAAAAAGGCCACAAAAACGGUUGGGCUAUAGCCUUGGGGGGUGGGGCUGGCCAUCUUCGUCCGCCGGACUCGGAAUGCCGCGAGACUUUACGAGGGGCCUCUGUGUGCCAAAAAUAGGCCGCGGCCAAAGCCGCGCCCAAAAAUAACCGACCGAAGGCCGGGGCGCCAAGUUCGUCCAGCGGAAAAAGCCACAAAAACGGGUGGGCUAUAGCCUUGGGGGGUGGGGCUGGCCAACUUCGUCCGCCGGACUCGGAAUGCCGUGAGACUUUGCGAGGGGCCUCCGUGUGCCAAAAAUAGGCCACGGGCAAAGCCGCGUCCAAAGAUAACCGCCCGAAGGCCGGGGCGCCAAGUUCGUCCAGCUGAAAAAGGCCUCAAAAACGGGUGGGCUAUAGCCUAGGGGGGUGGGGCUGGCCAACUUCGUCCGCCGGACUCGGAAUGGCGCGAGACUUUGUGAGCCACCUCCGUGUGCCAAAAAUAGGACACGGACACAGCCGCCCUCAAAAAUAACCGCCCGAAGGCCGGGGCGCCAAGUUCGUCCAGCGGAAAAAGCCCACAAAAACGGGUGGGUAUAGUCUUGGGGGGUGGGGCUGGCCCACUUCGUCCGCCGGACUCCGAAUGGCGUGNNNNNNNNNNNNNNNNNNNNNNNNNNNNNNNNNNNNNNNNNNNNNNNNNNNNNNNNNNNNNNNNNNNNNNNNNNNNNNNNNNNNNNNNNNNNNNNNNNNNGGGUGCCAAGUUCGUCCAGCGGAAAAUGGCCACAAAAAUGGGUGGGCUAUACCCUUGGGGGGUGGGGCUGGCCAACUUCGUCCGCCGGACUCGGAAUGCCGCGAGAUUUUGCGAGGGGCCUCCGUGUGCCAAAAAUAGGACGCGGGCAAAGCCGCGCCCAAAAAUAACCGCCCGUAGGCCGGGGUGCCAAGUUCGUCCAGCGGAAAAAGGCCACAAAAACGGGUGGGCUAUAGCCUUGGGGGGUGGGGCUGGCCCACUUCGUCCGCCGGACUCGGAAUACCGCGAGACAUUGCGAGGGGCCUCCGUGCACCAAAAAUAGGCCGCGGCCGAAGCCGCGCCCGAAAAUAACCGCCCGAAGUCCGGGGCGCCAAAUUCGUCCAGCGGAAAAAGGCCACAAAAACGGGUGGGCUAUAGCCUUGGGGGGGGGCGGGCCAACUUCGUCCGCCGGACUCGGAAUGCUGUGAGACUUUGCGAGGGGACUCCGUGUGCCAAAAAUAGGCCGCGGGCACAGCCGCGCCCAAAAAUAACCGCCCGAAGGCCGGGGCGCCGAGUUCGUCCAGCGGAAAAAGGCCACAAAAAUGGGUGGGCUAUAGCCUUGGGGGGUGGGGCUGGCCAACUUCGUCCGCCGGACUCGGAAUGGCGAGAGACUUUGCGAGGGGCCUCCGUGUGCCAAAAAUAGGCCGCGGGCAAAGCCGCGCCCAAAAAUAACCGCCCGAAGGCCGGGGCGCCAAGUUCGUCCAGCGGAAAAAGGCCACAAAAACGGGUGGGCUAUAGCCUUGGGGGGUGGGGCUGGCCAUCUUCGUCCGCCGGACUCGGAAUGCCGCGAGACUUUACGAGGGGCCUCUGUGUGCCAAAAAUAGGCCGCGGCCAAAGCCACGCCCAAAAAUAACCGACCGAAGGCCGGGGCGCCAAGUUCGUCCAGCGGAAAAAGCCCACAAAAACGGGUGGGUAUAGUCUUGGGGGGUGGGGCUGGCCAACUUCGUCCGCCGGACUCGGAAUGGCGUGAGACUUUGCGAGGCAAUUCCGUGUGCCAAAAAAAGGCCGCAGGCACAACCGCGCCCAAAAAUAAAAGCCCGAAGGCUGGGGUGCCAAGUUCGUCCAGCGGAAAAUGGGCACAAAAACGGGUGGGCUAUAGCCUUGGGGGGUGGGGCUUGCCAACUUCGUCCGCCGGACUCGGAAUGCCGCGAGAUUUUGCGAGGGGCCUCCGUGUGCCAAAAAUAGGACACGGGCAAAGCCGUGCCCAAAAAUAACCGCCCGUAGGCCGGGGUGCCAAGUUCGUCCAGCGGAAAAAGGCCACAAAAACGGGUGGGCUAUAGCCUUGGGGGGUGGGGCUGGCCCACUUCGUCCGCCGGACUCGGAAUACCGCGAGACAUUGCGAGGGGCCUCCGUGCACCAAAAAUAGGCCGCGGCCGAAGCCGCGAAACUUUAUGAGGGGCCUCCGUAUGCCAAAAGUAGGCUGCGGGCAAAGCCACGUCCAAAAAUAACCGCCCGAAGGCCUGGGCGCCAAGUUCGUACAGCGGACAAAGGUCACAAAAACGGGUGGACUAUAGCCUUGGGGGCUGGGGCUGGCCAACUUCGUCCGCCGGAAUCGGAAUGCCGCGAGACUUUGCGAGGGGCCUCCGUGUGCCAAAACUAGGCCACGGACAAAGCCGCAUCCAAAAAUAACCGCCCGAAGGCCGGGGCGCCAAGUUCGUCCAGCGGAAAAAGGCAACAAAAACGGGUGGGCUAUAGCCUUGGGGGGUGGGGCUGGCCAACUUCGUCCGCCGGACUCGGAAUGCCGCGAGACUUUGCGAGAGGCCUCCGUCUGCCAAACAUAGGCCGCGGGCAGGCCGCGCCCAAAAAUAACCGCCGAAUGCCGGGGCGCCAACUUCGUCCAGCGGAAAAAGGCCACAAAAACGGGUGGGCUAUAGCCUUGGGGGGUGGGGCUGGCCCACUUCGUCCGCCGGACACGGAAUGCCGCCAGACUUUGCCUGGGGCCUCCAUGUGCCAAAAGUAGGCCGCGGGCAAAGCCGUGCCCAAAAAUAACCGCCCGAAGCCCGGGGCGCCAAGUUCGUCCAGCGGAAAAAGGCCACAAAAACGGGUGGGCUAUAGCCUUGGGGGGUGGGGCUGGCCAACUUCGUCCGCCGGACUCGGAAUGCCGCGAGACUUUGCGAGGGGCCUCCGUCUACCAAAAAUAGGCCGCGGGCAAGGCCGCGCCCAAAAAUAACCGCCGAAUGCCGGGGCGCCAACUUCGUCCAGCGGAAAAAGACCACAAAAACGGGUGGGCUAUAGCCUUGGGGGGUGGGGCUGGCCUACUUCGUCCGCCGGACUCGGAAUGCCGUGACACAUUGCAAGGGGCCUCCGUGUGCCAAAAAUAGGCCGCGGACAAAGCCGCGCCCAAAAAUAACCGCCCGAAGGCCGGGGCGCCAUGUUCCUCCAACGGAAAAAGGCCACAAAAACGGGUGGGCUAUAGCCUUGGGGGGUGGGGCUGGCCAACUUCGUCCGCCGGACUCGAAAUGCCGCGAGACUUUGUGAGUGGCCUCCGUGUGCUAAAAAUAGGCCGCGGGCAAAGCCGAGCCCAAAAAUAACCGCCCGAAGGCCGGGGCGCCAAGUUCGUCCAGCGGAAAAAGGCCACAAAAACGGGUGGGCUAUAGCCUUGGGGGGUGGGGCUGGCCAACUUCGUCCGCCGGACUCGGAAUGGCGGGAGAAUUUGCGAGGGACCUCCGUGUGCUAAAAAUAGGCCGCGGGCACAGCCGCGCCCAAAAAUAACCGCCUGAAGGCCGGGGCGCCAAGUUCGUCCAGCGGAAAAAGGCCACAAAAAUGGGUGGGCUAUAGCCUUGGGGGGUGGGGCUGGCCGACUUCGUCCGCCGGACUCGGAAUGCCGGAAGACUUUGCGAGGGGCCUCCGUGUGCAAAAAAUAGGCCGCGGGCACAGCCGCGCCCAAAAAUAACCGCCGAAGGCCGGGGCGCCUACUUCCUCCAGCGGAAAAAGGCCACAAAAACGGGUGGGCUAUAGCCUUGGGGGGUGGGGCUGGCCAACUUCGUCCGCCGGACUCGGAAUGCCGCGAGACUUUGCGAGGGGCCUCCGUGUGCCAAAAAUAGGCCGCGUGCAAAGCCGCACCCAAAAAUAACCGCCCGGAGGCCGGGGCGCCAAGUUCGUCCAGCGGAAAAAGGCCACAAAAAUGGGUGGGCUAUAGCCUUGGGGGGUGGGGCAGGCCGACUUCGUUCGCCGGACUCGGAAUGCCAGAAGACUUUGCGAGGGGCCUCCGUGUGCCAAAAAUAGGCCGCGGGCACAGCCGCGCCCAAAAAUAACCGCUCGAAGGCCGGGGCGCCAAGUUCGUCCAGCGGAAAAAGCCCACAAAAACGGGUGGGUAUAGCCUUGGGGGAUGGGGCUGGCCAACUUCGUCCGCCGGGCUCGGAAUGGCGCGAGACUUUGCGAGGCGCCUCCGUGUACCAAAAAUAGGCCGCGGGCAUAGCUGCGCCCAAGAAUAACCACCCGAAGGCCGGGGCGCCAAGUUCGUCCAGCGGAAAAAGCCCACAAAAACGGGUGGGUAUAGCCUUGGGGGGUGGGGCUGGCCAACUUCGUCCGCCGGACUCGGAAUGCCGUGAGACUAUGCGAGGGGCCUCCAUGUGCCAAAAAUAGGCCGCGGGUAAAGCCGCGCCCAAAAAUAACCGCCGAAGGCCGGGGCGCCUACUUCCUCCAGCGGAAAAAGGCCACAAAAACGGGUGGGCUAUAGCCUUGGGGGGUGGGGCUGGCCAACUUCGUCCGCCGGACUCGGAAUGCCGCGAGACUUUGCGAGGGGCCUCCGUGUGCCAAAAGUAGGCCGCGGGCAAAGCCAUAGCCAAAAAUAACCGGCCGAAGGCCGGGGCGCCAUGUUCGUCCAGCGGAAAAAGUCCACAAAAACGGGUGGGCUAUAGCCUUGGGGAUGGGGCUGGCCAACUUCGUCCGCCGGACUCAGAAUGCCGCGAGACUUUGCGAGGGGCCUCCGUGUGCCAAAAGUAGGCCGCGGGCAAAGCCGCGCCCAAAAAUAACCGCCCGAAGGCCGGGGCGCCAAGUUCGUCCAGCGCAAAAAGGCCACAAAAACGGGUGGGCUAUAGCCUUGGGGUGUGGGGCAGGCCAACUUCGUCCGCCGGGCUCAGAAUGGCGAGAGACUUUGCGAGGUGCCUCCGUGUGCAAAAAAUAGGCCGUGGGCACAGCCGCGCACAAAAAUAACCGCCCGAAGGUCAGGGCGCCAAGUUCGUCCAGCGGAAAAAGGCCACAAAAACGGGUGGGCUAUAGCCUUGGGGGCUGGGGCUGGCCCACUUCAUCCGCCAGACUCGGAAUGGCGCGAGACUUUGCGAGGCACCUCCGUGUGCCAAAAAUAGGCCGCGGGCACAGCCGCACCCAAAAAUAACCGCCAGAAGGCCGGGGCGCCAAGUUCGUCCAGCGGAAAAAGGCCACAAAAACGGGUGGGCUGUAGCCUUGGGGGGUGGGGCUGGCCAUCUUCGUCCGCCGGACUCGGAAUGCCGCGAGAAUUUACGAGGGGCCUCUGUGUGCCAAAAAUAGGCCGCGGCCAAAGCCGCGCCAAAAAUAACCGCCCGAAGGCCGGGGCGCCAAGUUCGUCCUACGGAAAAAGCCACAAAAACGGGUGGGCUAUAGCCUUGGGGGGUGGGGCUGGCCAACUUCGUCCGCCGGACUCGGAAUGCCGUGAGACUUUGCGAUGGGCCUCCGUGAGCCAAAAAUAGGCCACGGGCAAAGCCGUGCCCAAAGAUAACAGCCCGAAGGCCGGGGCGCCAAGUUCGUCCAGCUGAAAAAGGCCUCAAAAACGGGUGGGCUAUAGCCUUGGGGGGUGGGGCUGGCCAACUUCGUCCGCCGGACUCGGAAUGGCGCGAGAAUUUGUGAGCCGUCUCCGUGUGCCAAAAAUAGGACGCGGACACAGCCGCACUCAAAAAUAACCACCCGAAGGCCGGGGCGCCAAGUUCGUCCAGCGGAAAAAGGCCACAAAAACGGGUGGGCUAUAGCAUUGGGGGCUGGGGCUGGCCCACUUCAUCCGCCGGACUCGGAAUGGCGCGAGACUUUGCGAGGCACCUCCGUGUGCCAAAAAUAGGCCGCGGGCACAGCCGCACCCAAAAAUAACCGCCCGAAGGCCGGGGCGCCAAGUUCAUCCAGCGGAAAACGGCCACAAAAACGGGUGGGCUAUAGCCUCGUGGGGUGGGGCUGGCCAUCUUCGUCCGCCGGACUCGGAAUGCCGCGAGACUUUACGAGGGGCCUCUGUGUGCCAAAAAUAGGCCGCGGCCAAAGCCGCGCCCAAAAAUAACCGACUGAAGGCCGGGGCGCCAAGUUCGUCCAGCGGAAAAAGCCACAAAAACGGGUGGGCUAUAGCCUUGGGGGGUGGGGCUGGCCAACUUCGUCCGCCGGACUCGGAAUGCCGUGAGACUUUGCGAGGGGCCUCCGUGUGCCAAAAAUAGGCCACGGGCAAAGCCGCGUCCAAAGAUAACCGCCCGAAGGCCGGGGCGCCAAGUUCGUCCAGCUGAAAAAGGCCUCAAAAACGGGUGGGCUAUAGCCUUGGGGGGUGGGGCUGGCCAACUUCGUCCGCCGGACACCGAAUGGCGCGAGNNNNNNNNNNNNNNNNNNNNNNNNNNNNNNNNNNNNNNNNNNNNNNNNNNNNNNNNNNNNNNNNNNNNNNNNNNNNNNNNNNNNNNNNNNNNNNNNNNNNGCGGAAAAAGCCCACAAAAACGGGUGGGUAUAGCCUUGGGGGGUGGGGCUGGCCAACUUCGUCCGCCGGACUCGGAAUGCCGCGAGACUUUGCGAGGGGCCUCCGUGUGCCAAAAUAUAGGCCGCGGGCAAAGCCGCGCCUAAAAAUAACUGCCGAAGGCCGGGGCGCCAACUUCCUCCAGCGGAAAAAGGCCACAAAAACGGGUGGGCUAUAGCCUUGGGGGGUGGGGCUGGCCGACUUCGUCCGCCGGACUCGGAAUGCCGCGAGACUUUGCGAGGGGCCUCCGUGUGCCAAAAGUAGGCCGCGGGCAAAGGCGUACCCAAAAAUAACCUCCCAAAGGCCGGGGCGCCAAGUUCGUCCAGCGGAAAAAGGCCACAAAAACGGGUGGGCUAUAGCCUUGGGGGGUGGGGCUGGCCCACUUCGUCCGCCGGACUCGGAAUGGCGGGAGACUUUACGAGGCGCCUCCGUGUGCCAAAAGUAGGCCGCGGGCAAAGCCGCGCCCAAAAAUAACCGCCCGAAGGCCGGGGCGCCAAGUUCGUCCAGCGGAAAAAGGCCACAAAAACGGGUGGGCUAUAGCCUUGGGGGGUGGGGCUGGCCAACUUCGUCCGCCGGACUCGGAAUGCCGCGAGACUUUGCGAGGGGCCUCCGUCUGCCAAAUAUAGGCCGCGGGCAAGGCCGCGCCCAAAAAUAACCGCCGAAUGCCGGGGCGCCAACUUCGUCCAGCGGAAAAAGGCCACAAAAACGGGUGGGCUAUAGCCUUGGGGGGUGGGGCUGGCCAACUUCGUCCGCCGGACUCGGAAUGGCGGGAGACCUUGCGAGGCGCCUCCGUGUGCCAAAAGUAGGCCGCGGGCAAAGCCGCGCCCAAAAAUAACCGCCCGAAGGCCGGGGCGCCAAGUUCGUCCAGCUGAAAAAGGCCACAAAAACGGGUGGGCUAUAGCCUUGGGGGGUGGGGCUGGCCAACUUCGUCCGCCGGACUCGGAAUGGGGCGAGACAUUGCCUGGGGCCUCCAUGUGCCAAAAGUAGGCCGCGGGCAAAGCCGUGCCCAAAAAUAACCGCCCGAAGCCCGGGGCGCCAAGUUCGUCCGGCGGAAAAAGGCCACAAAAACGGGUGGGCUAUAGCCUUGGGGGGUGGGGCUGGCCAACUUCGUCCGCCGGACUCGGAAUGCCGUGAGACUUUGCGAGGGGCCUCCGUCUGCCAAAAAUAGGCCGCGGGCAAGGCCGCGCCCAAAAAUAACCGCCGAAUGCCGGGGCGCCAACUUCGUCCAGCGGAAAAAGACCACAAAAACGGGUGGGCUAUAGCCUUCGGGGGUGGGGCUGGCCUACUUCGUCCGCCAGACUCGGAAUGCCGUGACACAUUGCAAGGGGCCUCCGUGUGCCAAAAAUAGGCCGCGGACAAAGCCGCGCCAAAAAAUAACCGCCCGAAGGCCGGGGCGCCAUGUUCCUCCAACGGAAAAAGGCCACAAAAACGGGUGGGCUAUAGCCUUGGGGGGUGGGGCUGGCCAACUUCGUCCGCCGGACUCGGAAAGCCGCGAGACUUUGUGAGUGGCCUCCGUGUGGAAAAAAUAGGCCGCGGGCAAAGCCGCACCCAAAAAUAACCGCCCGAAGGCCGGGGCGCCAAGUUCGUCCAGCGGAAAAAGGCCACAAAAACGGGUN
rnacentral:lncRNA from 1 species